AAUAGAUACCCAGGUAGUCCACGCCGUAAACGUUGGAUACUAGGUGUGGCGGUUAUACCAAUGACUGCCGUGCCGAAGCUAACGCAUUAAGUAUCCCGCCUGGGGAGUACGGCCGCAAGGCUAAAACUCAAAGGAAUUGACGGGGGCCCGCACAAGCGGCGGAGCAUGCGGAUUAAUUCGAUGCAACGCGAAGAACCUUACCAAGGCUUGACAUGCACGGGAAGCCACCAGAGAUGGUGGUCUCUUUGGACACUCGUGCACAGGUGGUGCAUGGUUGUCGUCAGCUCGUGUCGUGAGAUGUUGGGUUAAGUCCCGCAACGAGCGCAACCCUCGUCCCAUGUUGCCAGCGGGUUAUGCCGGGGACUCAUGGGAGACUGCCGGGGUCAACUCGGAGGAAGGUGGGGAUGACGUCAAAUCAUCAUGCCCCUUAUGUCUUGGGCUUCACGCAUGCUACAAUGGCCGGUACAAAGGGCUGCGAUACCGUAAGGUGGAGCGAAUCCCAAAAAGCCGGUCUCAGUUCGGAUUGGGGU
rnacentral:rRNA from 1 species